UACGUAGGGGGCGAGCGUUGUCCGGAGUUACUGGGCGUAAAGCGCACGCAGGCGGUGCGGCACGUUUGGGGUUACAGCUCCCGGCUCAACUGGGAGAGCGCCUCGAAGACGGCGGCACUUGAGGGCCAGAGAGGGACACGGAACUCCGGGUGGAGUGGUGAAAUGCGUAGAUAUCCGGAAGAACACCAAAGGCGAAGGCAAUCCCCUGGGCCUGCACUGACGCUCAUGCACGAAAGCGUGGGGAGCAAACAGG
rnacentral:rRNA from 1 species